GCUCAGGAUGAACGCUGGCGGCGUGCUUAACACAUGCAAGUCGAGCGAAGCGAUUUAAAUGAGACUUCGGUGGAUUUUAAAUUGACUGAGCGGCGGACGGGUGAGUAACGCGUGGAUAACCUGCCUCACACAGGGGGAUAACAGUUAGAAAUGACUGCUAAUACCGCAUAAGCGCACGGUACCGCAUGGUACAGUGUGAAAAACUCCGGUGGUGUGAGAUGGAUCCGCGUCUGAUUAGGUAGUUGGUGAGGUAACGGCCCACCAAGCCGACGAUCAGUAGCCGACCUGAGAGGGUGAUCGGCCACAUUGGGACUGAGACACGGCCCAAACUCCUACGGGAGGCAGCAGUA
rnacentral:rRNA from 1 species